UGACCCCGUGCGGGAGAGUCCUUCGGAGAAAUCGUCCGGAGGCGCCGAAGGAGCAAAUCCUCCCCGGAAUCUCUCAGGCCCACGUACCGCACGGACGAG
rnacentral:ncRNA from 1 species